rnacentral:rRNA from 1 species
GAUAGUACCUUACUACUUGGAUAACCGUGGUAAUUCUAGAGCUAAUACAUGCUGAAAACCCCAACUUCGGGAGGGGUGUAUUUAUUAGAUAAAAAACCAACGCCCUUCGGGGCUUCUUGGUGAUUCAUGAUAACUUUACGGAUCGCAUGGCCUUGCGCCGGCGACGGUUCAUUCAAAUUUCUGCCCUAUCAACUUUCGAUGGUAAGGUAUUGGCUUACCAUGGUUUCAACGGGUAACGGGGAAUUAGGGUUCGAUUCCGGAGAGGGAGCCUGAGAAACGGCUACCACAUCCAAGGAAGGCAGCAGGCGCGCAAAUUACCCAAUCCCGACACGGGGAGGUAGUGACAAUAAAUACUGAUACAGGGCUCUUUUGGGUCUUGUAAUUGGAAUGAGUACAAUUUAAACCUCUUAACGAGGAACAAUUGGAGGGCAAGUCUGGUGCCAGCAGCCGCGGUAAUUCCAGCUCCAAUAGCGUAUAUUAAAGUUGUUGCAGUUAAAAAGCUCGUAGUUGAAACUUGGGCCUGGCUGGCAGGUCCGCCUCACCGCGUGUACUUGUCCGGCCGGGUCUUCCUUCUGGAGAACCUCAUGCCCUUCACUGGGCGUGUUGGGGACCAGGACUUUUACUUUGAAAAAAUUAGAGUGUUCAAAGCAGGCCUUUGCUCGAAUACGUUAGCAUGGAAUAAUAGAAUAGGACGUGCGGUUCUAUUUUGUUGGUUUCUAGGACCGCCGUAAUGAUUAAUAGGGACAGUCGGGGGCAUCAGUAUUCAAUUGUCAGAGGUGAAAUUCUUGGAUUUAUUGAAGACUAACUACUGCGAAAGCAUUUGCCAAGGAUGUUUUCAUUAAUCAGUGAACGAAAGUUAGGGGAUCGAAGACGAUCAGAUACCGUCGUAGUCUUAACCGUAAACUAUGCCGACUAGGGAUCGGGCGAUGUUCUUUUUUUUGACUCGCUC